rnacentral:rRNA from 2 species
GACGAACCACACGAACGUUAUUCGGAAUUACUGGGCUUAAAGGGUGCGUAGGCGGCGCAGAAAGUUGGGUGUGAAAUCCCUCGGCUCAACCGAGGAACUGCGCCCAAAACUACUGUGCUUGAGGAAGAUAGAGGUAAGCGGAACUUACGGUGGAGCGGUGAAAUGCGUUGAUAUCGUAAGGAACACCUGUGGCGAAAGCGGCUUACUGGGUCUUUUCUGACGCUGAUGCACGAAAGCCAGGGGAGCAAACGGG